rnacentral:lncRNA from 1 species
AAAGCUAAAACUGAAGCCACGACCCCGGCAAUUGCCAUUUGAUGUUGAUUACGAUCCAUCUACACAAAAUAAUGCCACACAAAUAUAUGAUCACUAGUACAAAAGAUACAAGAUUUUCAUAAGAUCACAUAAAGUUACCAUGACUAAAAAAGUGCAUACAUACAUAUCAAGCUAAUUAUAAUUGCCCAAUAAUAAUUUUUUUUAAAGUAGCACUUAAAAUAUAUUGAUCAUAGUUAAUACAAUACUUCAAUUGGUGCAAGAGUUUGUUAUAUAUUAUUAGGUUAUCUUUCAUGUAAAAAUAUAAAAUAUUUUUAUUAUUUAAGUUACCAUGACUUAAAAUAUAUUGAUCAUGUAUUUAUAAAGUUACCAUGACUUAAAAUAUAUUGAUCAUAGUUAAUAAUAUGUUUCUAUAAAGUUACCAUGACGUAAAAUAUAUUGAUAAUGUAUUUAUAAAGAGUUUUAAAUUAUAAUAUGUUUCAUGUAUUUAAAGAGUUUUAAAUAUAUUGAUCAUGUAUUAAAGUUACCAUGACUUAAAAUAUCUUUCAUGUAUUUGUUAUAUAUUGAUCAUAGUUAAUAAUAUGUUUUUAUAAAGUUACCAUGACUUAAAAUUAUUCGUACUGUUUUUAUAAAGUUACCAUGACUUAAAAUAUAUUGAUCAUGUUUUUAUAAAUGUUGAUGCUUCUUUUUUUAAAAUAUAAAAGAGUUUUAAAUACUUCAAUUGCUAUCAAGUGUGUUUUCUUUUUUUUAUUUCAAUAUGAACAAAAAAAUUUGACAAUGUUAUAAAUUUUUUUAUUUCUAUUUUUUAUAAUUUUUUAAAUUAUAAAUUGAUUACUUUUUAUAAAAAAUAAAUAAUGUUUAAGUGCACUGCUACAAUUGCUAUAUAUACAGUUAAAAUUUCGGACAUAAUUAACAAAAAUAUCAGUCCCUAAGAUGCCUAUAUAGAUGAGUUAUUACUAGCUUCCCGAUUUCUUAAAUCAAAAUCUACUUGAAAAGUUAAAAACAAAUUUGAUUUUGGUUCAUCUGUCAUUUGCAAAAGUUUUGAGACUCUCUCGUUUCUAACUUCAUCUUUUCUUUAAUUCCGAGUCUUUGAACUGUGAAAAAAAUGGUGGGGUGCAUGAAUUAUUUCCCUCAUGUUCAUACUGUAUAUUCACUACAAUCUCUUUCAUGCAAAUCGAUAUCAAUGUGUAAUAUUUAAACAACAUUUCCUUAUAUUUUAAAGAAAAAAACAUAAUUCCUUGCCAUAAACUCUAUAUUUCUACAUAAAUUUAAAUCUAUAACAUCUACCAUCAACCAAAUAUAACAGCUCAUUACUGCCAUUUCCCAACAAAUUACAGAAAAAAUGUAAAUCAAUAAUAAACCAUACCCAAACACAUCCAACAACCAUUUAAUUCAGUUGAACCGAAUUAUAACAACCACAUAUUAUACCAAAUCAUAAAUCAAGCACACCACAAACCUCUUAUGAAAAUAUCGACCAAGGCCACCAACAGGAGUACGAAUGCUGAGGUAGAGGCUAGGACAGCAAGAACUAUACAGCUGGAGGUCAAGCAUAGAAAGAAAUUAGAACCGUUAGAAGCAAUAAAAAAUAGAAGCUAAGACAACAUCAGUCUUGCCAUCAUCAAUAAGUCUGGUUCGUUCAAACCCAAAACCUAAUAAACAUAAUCAAAAUCCCUG